AUGAAAAUGCAUAUUAUUCAAUUUUCCUGCGAUAUGUUAUUUUGCAUGAAAAGAAGUAUUUGAAUAUGUAUGAGCAGACGCCUGCGAGAUCCACUUGGAGAAUGUCAGUAGAGCAAUCAUGCAAUGCGGUUCCCAAGUUAAUCAACAAGCUGCCAAAGAUUGAUGAAGAUAGGCCAGGUGGAGAGAGAGAAUAGGAGUUGCAAAUUCUGAUAAUAUAAUAUUGGCCAGAGACAACUUGAAAUGGCCAUGCAAUUUAACAAAAUAGGCUUCACAUGUUAUCUGCUUCAAUGCAUCAGAAACUAUUCUUGAAGUUAACAAAUGACUUCAACGAUGUGGAAACAGCUGGUACUGAAUGCGGAAUGUAGUUGUGUGUCGCUGUUGGCCGCCUCGACGCAUUCCC